GCAGCUGCUGGCCGGCGUCAUCGCCGAGGCGAGCCGCAGCCCCUCCACAGAGAGUCACUUGGCGGCAGCGGCGGAGCCGCGGGGGGAGGCGGCGGCCGAGCCGGAGCCCCCCAACCCCUUCAGGCAGCUGACGGACCGGGAGCUGGAGGAGUACAAGCGGGAGGUGGAGCGCAAGGCGCUGGCGCCGCCCGGCGACAAGGACGCUGGCGAGGAGAGUCCGGCUGCGCCCACCACCGAGCCCCCCCCUG
rnacentral:lncRNA from 1 species